CGGCAGCCUGGUAGCGCACUUGCAUGGGGUGCAAGGGGUCGAGUGUUCGAAUCACUCCGUCCCGACCA
rnacentral:tRNA from 1 species